rnacentral:rRNA from 1 species
UACGAGGGGUGCAAGCGUUGCUCGGAAUUAUUGGGCGUAAAGGGUAGGUAGGUGGUCUUAUUUGUCAGGGGUGAAAUCCUUGGGCUUAACUCAAGAAGUGCCCCUGAAACGGUAAGACUAGAAUCUUGGAGAGGUGAGCGGAAUUCCCGGUGUAGCGGUGAAAUGCGUAGAGAUCGGGAGGAACACCAGAGGCGAAGGCGGCUCACUGGACAAGUAUUGACACUCAACUACGAAAGCGUGGGGAGCAAACAGG